UUGCAUUGGGACUAAUUACAGGAAUCUCACCACAUACAUCCAAAGGUUCCUUCGUUCUGUUUGCCUGGUGUGCCUGAAGAAAGUAUAUGACCAACAGCUUGUAUGUUAUUAAAUAGAGUGCAGAUUCUACAGUGGGGAAGGUCUUUUUUUGUGGUCACAUGUGAUUGUCCUUCUAGCCCCAAGAAAAGACCUUCAGCCGGCCUCACCUGUAUCCAUCUCAUCCACGCUGUUGAGGAAGUCAUCUGGAGUGCGAGGGACGCUGUAGCUGCUCAUACUCAAGCCGCUGUCUGUGCUCUCAUCCCUGGAGUGGGGCCCAGCAGCCUUGUGUGUUCAAGACUUAUAAAUCUUCAAAGAGCUUCGCCGACCAGAGCCGCCGUCUCUUCCCAGCUGCCCUGCUCCUCUUACAACUCUGUUUUGAACUUUUCUUGCCUGCCCUCAGAGCAGAACACACAAUUGCUUACAGAAAAAAAACCCCCAAAAAACUCGCCCCUAUAAGCGCCCGGGCUUCGAUUAAAAGUAACACUAAAAUUAAACAGGAUAACAACAGGGCUGCGUGCUGGUUCGCACAUGUGAACCGGGGGGGUGAGCUUCCCAGUGGAACAGUGUUGUAAUGAAGGGAUGGCACCUGAAGCGUAAGUGAGUCAGAGUGACAUAAGCAGGAACCUUCAUCUCUGGAAGUCUUCCUGACACACUGAAGAAUAUUAGCUCAUUCCCAUGGCACCCCCGGAGAAGUCUCACCACAUGUACACGGUCCUGUCACUAAUUCACCAACCCUGGCUGCCACAACACACUGGAAGCUAACUGUCAAACUUUAGCUUU